rnacentral:lncRNA from 1 species
AGGAGAUUGGGAAGAUUGAUGAUAAUUAUGUGGAUCGGUAUUGCAAACCGAAGAGAAGAAGAGCUGCACAACAACCACCACUACCCCCACCACCCCAGGCCUCCACCUCUGCUGUUCAUGAUCAGAAUUUUUAUAAUCAUUUUACUUAUUUGUAUGAUCAGAAUGAUGCAGGAUAUAGAGCCAUGAGUGCAAUGCAGCAAUCUUUCUAUAAUCAGCAUACUGGGCAGUCGGUGAUGACACCACAAGAUUUCGAAGCCUUUGUUGCAUGGCCUGAGGUCAGGCCUACUUUUCUCGGAGGGGGUAAUGUAGCAGAUGCUGAAGCUGCUAGUGAAGGAGACAAUGCAAGUGAAGGAGAAGCUGGUUCUGAUGCAUCUAUGCAAGAAGGAGAUGAAAGUGAUGCUGGCUCCGAAUCUGGUUCGGAGGCCGGUUCAGAAUCUGAGUGAAGAAAGCAAGGAGAUGGCUGAAAAGCACGCCAAAAUGAGUGAACUUUAAAAGCUUUCAGUCAUUUAAAUGUUUAAGUUUUAGUAGUUUAUCUUUUGUAUUAACUAUGUGGAACAUGUGGAAGUAUGAAUGUGUGUCACUUGUUUUGUGUUUUGUUGUGAACAUAUGAUGAAUGUUUGAAGUUUAAUGCAUGAUAAUUAGUAAUUUAAUAUAGUAGUAUGGUAGUCUAGUAAUGUGAAAUAUUGUGAAUAGCAUUUUGAAGAACAAGCUCACAUGUGUUUGAAAUUGAAAGAUGGGUUUGUGAUAAAUCAAUGUGUUGAGCAUGAUAGUUGAUUUGUAGAGAUAUAUGUCAACCUUCUUUGAUUAGUGUUCAAAAUAGGCUUAGAAACUUAACAUGUUUUUGAAAUGUGUUACUUGUCCUAAGAUGAUUCUCACUAUUUCUGUUGAACAUGAUUGAAACUUGUGUUAUCCAAUCUAGCUGGGUGAGAAUGUGUGAACUUUCC